AGCGAGAAGCCCGCAGGGUGAGUAAGCGGCGCACGGGUGAGUAACACGUGGGUAAUCUUCCUUGGAGCCCGGAAUAACUCCCCGAAAGGGGUGCUAAUGCCGGAUGAGACCACGGGAUCUCCGGAUCCUGAGGGAAAAGGCGGCCUCUGUACACAAGCUGUCACUCCAAGAUGAGCCCGCGGCCCAUCAGCUAGUUGGCGGGGUAAUGGCCCACCAAGGCAUCGACGGGUAGCUGGUCUGAGAGGACGAUCAGCCACACUGGAACUGAGACACGGUCCAGACUCCUACGGGAGGCAGCAGUGGGGAAUUUUGCGCAAUGGGCGAAAGCCUGACGCAGCAACGCCGCGUGUGUGAUGAAGGUCUUCGGAUCGUAAAGCACUGUCGGGAGGGACGAAUAAGGCGGCGGCUAAUAUCCGCAGCCGAUGACGGUACCUCCAAAGGAAGCACCGGCUAACUCUGUGCCAGCAGCCGCGGUAAUACAGAGGGUGCAAGCGUUGUUCGGAAUUAUUGGGCGUAAAGCGCGUGUAGGCGGCCUUGCAAGUUGGGUGUGAAAGCCCUCGGCUUAACCGAGGAAGUGCGCCCAAAACUACAGGGCUUGAGUACCGGAGAGGGUGGCGGAAUUCCCGGUGUAGAGGUGAAAUUCGUAGAUAUCGGGAGGAACACCAGUGGCGAAGGCGGCCACCUGGACGGAUACUGACGCUG
rnacentral:rRNA from 1 species